UGUAUACCUGCUUACAUGCCUCUCCU
rnacentral:piRNA from 1 species